rnacentral:rRNA from 1 species
UACGUAGGGGGCAAGCGUUGUCCGGAUUUAUUGGGCGUAAAGAGCUCGUAGGUGGUUUGGUAAGUCGGAUGUGAAAUCUCCAGGCUCAACCUGGAGGGGUCAUUCGAUACUGCCAUGACUAGAGGUCGGUAGGGGAGUGUGGAAUUCCUGGUGGAGCGGUGAAAUGCGCAGAUAUCAGGAGGAACACCGAUGGCGAAGGCAGGUCUCUGGGCAUUAACUGACGCUGAGGAGCGAAAGCAUGGGGAGCGAACAGG